rfam:Nematocida sp. 1 ERTm2 unplaced genomic scaffold supercont1.3, whole genome shotgun sequence.
GCUUCCAUGGCGUAGUUGGUUAUCGCGUUCGGCUGUUAACCGAAAGGUCGUUGGUUCGAAUCCGACUGGAAGCG